AUCAUCAACGCUGUCCACGUACUAGGCUCAUCCAGAAUGAAUAAAUCGGACCCCCGGCGAGAACAGCGAGUGGUGAUGUACAUCGGCAGUGGCGUUUGUGCUGAAGGUCGAGAUUUCAUCUUCUUCGUUGGAUUAUACUCGGCAGAAACAUUCACAGGAUGAACAAGAAAUCAGUGAAGAGAGAUAGAUCUAGACAAGAAAUCAGUGAAGAGAAAUAGAUCAUCUUCAUCACCUGGGUUGCAUGCGGUCGAUCGGACACCAGCAAGGCACAUGGCGACGCAGCUUCAUCUCCGGCGUGCAGCGUGCAUGGUGAUGGUGAUUGACGAGGAGAAACACACACAAGGAAGCACUGAGAUAUGGUGAUGAUGGACGGUGGUGGCGACGAAGUCUGGAAUCUCCGGCAUGACUUUUCUUCUUCCUCCGUUGCAUGCAAUGGAUGGACUCGUUCCUGGUUACUUCGAUGGACAACGCGACGAUGGUUGACACCGGCGAUCUCCGGCUGGGCCUCCUCUGGCGCGUGGCGACGGCGGACGAGCCGAGGAUGUCUGAUAUGCUCGUCAUAUCCUCAUUUCCUCUCCUUCAUCGCUAAUAGUCAAGGGUUCAGCCUGAGACCACAGCCUCCAAGCCUAGGACUCGGAGUUGAACGAGCUUGCGGCGGCCGAGGAGGAAUCGGACGAUGUUGCUGGUGGAAACCUCAUGCGGAGCAAGGCUUCACCGACUAACUCCCAUUUCUACCUCUUUGCUAUGGAGACCGGUUCGAAUUCCACUAAGAAAUCGACCAGAGGAAGGCUGAAGAAGGUUAUCGAUCUGGCGGAGGAUGUUACUGAGGUUUCGGAGUUGAACGAGGUUGUGGCGGCCAAGGAGGAAUUGGACAAUGUUGCUGGUGGAAACCUCAUGUGGAGCAAGGCUUCACUGCCUGAGCGGAAACGGAUCUGGAAGAGGAAGCGAAGCAGCGUUGGCCUCACCGCUACCAGAAGGGCACAGAAAUCAAAUGGUGGAAUUAGGAGUAUAACUAAGUAAAUUUCCUCUGCUGCCAAGAUGAAUCUGGUGGGGUACUUCAGGCUAAGAGACAUUUUACAGCAGCAAAAGUUGAUGGCCUGGUUUAUAAGCUUGGGGGUGAUGCUUAUGUUAAGAUGGCCCUCCCCGGAUCCUCCCAAUGAUGGCGCUUAGAGGAGAUGAAUUAUUGUUGCACCAAUUGUUGAAAUGGGGCCUUCACCCAAAUGAAUCUGACAACAAUGGGAGAACAGCUCUUGAAUGUGAACUCCACUGCUGAAUUUUUUUAAACUGUGUGGCUGAGUGCCACAUUUCAAUCAAUUUCUUUUGCUUUUCCAUUUUCCACCCUUCAGCAUAUAGCAGUAUCUAAAGGACAUGAGAAUUGUGUACUUCUGCUGGACUUUGGGGCCGUUCCCAACAUUAGAGGAAUACAAAUACAUCACGAGAAUGAGGUUGACUUACAUUAGUUCAUCUGUGGCAUCCCAUCUUAGGAAUACAAAUACAAAUACUUGUUCGUGAUAUCCCAUGGUCUCAAGAAGAAUCAUAAGCUGGUGGCAAAAUUCUUUACAAGUUAUUAUGCAUAAAGCUAUUUAUCUCAUCAGAUCAUAUACCGGUCAGGUGAUGUUCAGAGACUGGUGGUAAGUAUCUGAUAGACCUUUUUGUGAUUCGUGAAAGAUAAAUAUGCCAAACUAAAGCAAGCGAGUAAAACAGAUCAUCCCGUUGGACUCAGUGUAAGAACUCUCCCCCUCACUCAUUCCCUUUUUCUUUAUCUUUAUAUGUAUUCCCUUCCAAAGUAAGUUUCUGCUCCACGAAUACUGUUUUUAUUUUGUAAUUAAUUAAAUAUGGAAAGGGUUGCUUGCUCUAGUUUGUUGUCUUUUGCGUUAGCUUGUCCGCCACUAUUACCUCACACUGUCCUUUUCAAUAUUAUUGCCAGGUGAAUGCUGUAAAGUUUAAUGAUUAAUGAUUAUGCUACUGUAGUUGUAUCUGCCGGAUAUGAUAAAUCUUUGCGCAUUUGGGACUGCAAAUCUCACAGUACUGAUGAGCCAAUUCAGGUUUUGAUUUGUCAAAAUGAAGGUGAAAGGUGCAUGAAAGAAACAUCUAUUAAUUCACUGAGGAUAAGCCUCAAGAUCCCAAGUACAGUGCAGGCAAAUGCUGAAGUUCCCGAGGAUGAAGAAGACAUUGAUGAAGAAGCUGUAAGAACUGCAUCCAUGUAUCAUAGUUUUUGUCUUUUCUUUUUAGAUUAGAUUGACUUGUGUUAAAUUUUUAACUGUAUACUCAUGAUGGAUUCUUUUCAAGUAUAUGAAAUGUCUAUUUUGUA